rnacentral:lncRNA from 1 species
ACGUUUCUCUGUGACUUCAUCCUAGAUGGAGCAGAUUUGGAACUGCGACUAGCAGAUGGAAGUAACAAUUGUUCAGGGAGAGUAGAGGUGAGAAUUCAUGAACAGUGGUGGACAAUAUGUGACCAGAACUGGAAGAAUGAACAAGCCCUUGUGGUUUGUAAGCAGCUAGGAUGUCCGUUCAGCGUCUUUGGCAGUCGUCGUGCUAAACCUAGUAAUGAAGCUAGAGACAUUUGGAUAAACAGCAUAUCUUGCACUGGGAAUGAGUCAGCUCUCUGGGACUGCACAUAUGAUGGAAAAGCAAAGCGAACAUGCUUCCGAAGAUCAGAUGCUGGAGUAAUUUGUUCUGGUGAUGCAACAUGGGGCCUGAGGCUGGUGGGCGGCAGCAACCGCUGCUCGGGAAGACUGGAGGUGUACUUUCAAGGACGGUGGGGCACAGUGUGUGAUGACGGCUGGAACAGUAAAGCUGCAGCUGUGGUGUGUAGCCAGCUGGACUGCCCAUCUUCUAUCAUUGGCAUGGGUCUGGGAAACGCUUCUACAGGAUAUGGAAAAAUUUGGCUCGAUGAUGUUU